rnacentral:rRNA from 1 species
GAGGAAUAUUGGUCAAUGGGCGGAAGCCUGAACCAGCCAUGCCGCGUGCAGGAUGACGGCCCUACGGGUUGUAAACUGCUUUUCCCCGGGAAGAAUAAGCCCCUCGUGAGGGGUGAUGCCGGUACCGGGGGAAUAAGGAUCGGCUAACUCCGUGCCAGCAGCCGCGGUAAUACGGAGGAUCCGAGCGUUAUCCGGAUUUACUGGGUUUAAAGGGUGCGUAGGCGGGCGCCUAAGUCAGCGGUGAAAUGCAGCGGCUCAACCGUUGAACUGCCGUUGAAACUGGGCGCCUUGGAUGCGGUCGAGGCCGGCGGAAUGCGUGGUGUAGCGGUGAAAUGCUUAGAUAUCACGCAGAACGCCAAUUGCGAAGGCAGCUGGCCGGGCCGCAAUCGACGCUGAGGCACGAAAGCGUGGGGAUCAAAC